rnacentral:rRNA from 1 species
AACGAACGCUGGCGGCAUGCCUAACACAUGCAAGUCGAACGAACUCUUCGGAGCUAGUGGCGGACGGGUGAGUAACACGUGGGAACGUGCCCUUAGGUUCGGAAUAACUCACCGAAACUUGUGCUAAUACCGAAUGUUCUCUUCGGGGCAAAGAUUUAUCGCCUUUGGAUCGGCCCGCGUUUGAUUAGCUAGUUGGUAGGGUAAAGGCUCACCAAGGCGACGAUCAGUAGCUGGUCUGAGAGGAUGAUCAGCCACAUUGGGACUGAGACACGGCCCAGACUCCUACGGGAGGCAGCAGUGGGGAAUAUUGCACAAUGGGCGAAAGCCUGACGCAGCCAUGCCGCGUGAAUGAUGAAGGUCUUAGGAUUGUAAAGUUCUUUUACCCGGGAUGAUAAUGACAGUACCGGGAGAAGAAGCCCCGGCUAACUUCGUG